rnacentral:lncRNA from 1 species
GGAGUGUGAGGAACUACAAGCAAAGGUAGAAACUUUGAGCACUGAGAAUACUGCACUCAGAGAUGAGCUGCAGAGGCUUUCUGAGGAAUGCGAGAAGCUUACAUCUGAAAAUAAUUCCAUUAAGGUCUCCCUCUCUCUGCCUCCUCCCUCUGCUUGUCCUUUUUAUGUUAUUUCAAUAAGCAUUGCAUUUUUUGAGUUUCAUUAUUAUUAUUUACUCCAAAAUUUUCCUAAUACGGGAAAGGGGAAAUAAAACCUUUGCAGAUUAUCAAUCUAGGUAUGACCAUACCCAAAUCUUUACUGAAAUUAAAACAAGUUUCUUUGGCUCUUCAUGAAAGCACUGCUUGCAGUUUUUGUAUGAACCACAUGAAUUGAAAAGAGAUGACAUUUGUGGUCUAGUUUUAUACUGUAAUAGUGCUAACAGACUAAUAUUUGUACUAAUUGGUAGCUAUAUGAACUACUAGACUUCAGCUCUCCUUUUAUGUUUUUCAUUUGUCUCAGCAAAAAUUAUAUACCUAUUAAUCACAAUGAUAAUUUUGCUGCUCAAACAGGAAGAAUUGACUCGGGUAUGUGGAGCAGAUGCAGUGGCUGCAAACCUCAAAGAGAAAAACCCCACACAACUCCAAUCUCAGGGCGUCGAGGGCAACAGUUGAGUAUGCAGUCGACAUUGAAAUUUCUUCUUAAAACCUCAGGUAUUUCUGACUUUGGCUUUAAUUGAGAAUCAAG